rnacentral:rRNA from 1 species
CAACCUGAACUCAGACGUGAUAACCCGCUGAACUUAAGCAUAUCAUUUAGCGGAGGAAAAGAAACUAACAAGGAUUCCCAAAGUAACGGCGAGUGAACUGGGAAAAGCCCAACGCUGAAUCUUUCGAUUUUAUAUCGUGAAGAAAUGUAGCGUAUAGGUAUGGUUGUCGGUUUGUUUAGCAUGUCCAAAGUUCCUUUGAUAGGGGCCAUAUUCCGGAGAGGGUGCGAGACCUGUGCGGACAGUUGAGCAUACCGUAUGAUUAUACCGUAGAGUCGGGUUGCUUGAAAGUGCAGCCUUAAGUGGGUGAUAAACUUCAUCUAAGGCUAAAUACGAACGCGAAUUCGAUAGCAAACAAGUACUGUGAAGGAAAGUUGCAAAGAACUUUGAAGAGAGAGUUCAAGAGAACGUGAAAUCGUUGAAGUGGAACCGGAGAGAAUUGACGUAGUCUGGUGGAUAAGUAUUGCAAGAAUCGCAUUCAUAUAUUUGAAUGUGAUCAAGUAAUAUGUAUACCAUUAAUGACUGUGCUGACAGUAUCGGUUACACGAUCUGAACCCGUGUUAACAUGUUGCCCAUUCUAUUCGAUAGAAUGGUGUCUUGUGUUACGUGGUAAGGUUUGUUGUUAGCUGAUAUUGAUUAAUGAUAAUUAUUUUUAAAUAAUUGUUAUGUCAGCAUAGAAGUCAAUCACCUCUCCGACCCGUCUUGAAACACGGACCGAGGAGUGUAAUUUGUACGCAAGUGAAUAGGUGAAAAACCUUAACGCGAAAUGAAAGUGAAGGCACGGUUAACCGGCUAACAUGGGAAACGUCUGUAUACAAUAUAUAUUUAACGAGACGUCACACCAUGGCCCUGUCUUGUCUGCGUGCAGAUGGGCAGCGGUAGAGCGUACAGGUUGCGACCCGAAAGAUGGUGAACUAUGCCUGAGCAGGACGAAGUCAGAGGAAACUCUGAUGGAAGUCCGUAUCGGUUCUGACGUGCAAAUCGAUCGAUAGACUUAGGUAUAGGGGCGAAAGACUAAUCGAACCAUC